AUUGAACGCUGGCGGCAGGCUUAACACAUGCAAGUCGAACGGUAACAUAAAGAAGCUUGCUUCUUUGAUGACGAGUGGCGGACGGGUGAGUAAUGCUUGGGAAUCUAGCUUAUGGAGGGGGAUAACUACGGGAAACUGUAGCUAAUACCGCGUAGUAUCGGAAGAUGAAAGUGUGGGACCUUCGGGCCACAUGCCAUAGGAUGAGCCCAAGUGGGAUUAGGUAGUUGGUGAGGUAAAGGCUCACCAAGCCGACGAUCUCUAGCUGGUCUGAGAGGAUGACCAGCCACACUGGGACUGAGACACGGCCCAGACUCCUACGGGAGGCAGCAGUGGGGAAUAUUGCGCAAUGGGGGCAACCCUGACGCAGCCAUGCCGCGUGAAUGAAGAAGGCCUUCGGGUUGUAAAGUUCUUUCGGUAGCGAGGAAGGCAUUUAGUUUAAUAGACUAGGUGAU
rnacentral:rRNA from 1 species